rnacentral:rRNA from 1 species
CCUACGGGUGGCAGCAGUGGGGGAUAUUGCACAAUGGGGGAAACCCUGAUGCAGCGACGCAGCGUGGGCGAAGAAGUAUUUCGGUAUGUAAAGCCCUAUUAGCAGGGAAGAAGAAAUGACGGUAUCUGAGUAAGAAGCUCUGGCUAAAUACGUGCCAGCAGCCGCGGUAAUACGGAUGGUGCAAGCGUUAUCCGGAUGUACUGGGUGUAAAGGGAGCGCAGGCGGGACGGCAAGCCAGAUGUGAAAGCCCGCGGCCAAACCGCGGGACUGCAUUGGGAACUACCGGGCUGGAGUGCAGGAGAGGAAGGCGGAAUUCCUAGUGUAGCGGUGAAAUGCGUAGAUAUUAGGAGGAACACCAGUGGCGAAGGC